GCGCAUUCAGAUGGCAGCCAUGGUUGGCGGCUCCUUUGUCGCAUGUGCUGCGGCCCUCACCUUUUCUGCAUCCGUCGUCAUCAGGGUACAGGCGCGGUGCAGGGCUACUUCGAGUCCAGGUGGGCAUCGAGGCCAGGUGAGUGGCCCCAUAACGUGGAAGGGAUGAUCGAGUUCUUCUAGAAGAUGUCCUGGUAAGUCAGUUGUGAAAGAAAGGUGGCCUCUUCCAGAGAGCCUUACUCUUCAGCCAGAACAGAGGUUAUCUGGGGCCUCUGAAGCCAAACUCCGUCGUAUCUUGAAUUCACAUUCAGGACUAAUCUCCCAAGAGUUCUCAAGGGAAGGAGAGACUGCGAUGUGGACUGUGGGUUGUACAGGGUUUUCGUAAUGCACUUAGCAAGCCUCCAGCGUGCUUGGGUCUGCCGUGACCCUGUGCAUUCCUACAGUGCUUGCCAAAACAAUUGUGAAGUGGUUUGAGGCCUUGCCCUGCUCUCUCCAGAGCAAGGUUAUAGAAAUUUCAGACAGUACGACAGAUACCUGGCGCCUGGGUAAGUCACAAGGGAGUAGAGUUUGUUUCUGUGGUCCAGAGUUAAUGCAAACUAUUAAGUCCUUAAAACAAUUACAAAAUACAGCAUGAGUUCAAGUAAAACUCGAGGUGUGGUCACAUGGUGUUUGCUCCAGGUGGGCCCUGGGCCUGGUUCUUAGCAAGCAAGAAAACCAGGAUCGGAGAGACCCAAGAUGGUAGAAGCCUGGCCCGUGUGCCAAUAGCUAAGGAAGGCGUCCCUGUAGCGGAAGGCAUUGGUGUUGGGAGGUAUUUUUUGGCAUUAAGACAACCAGUUAGGUGAGGGUGACCUUGAACUCCCAAUCCUUAAGCAUGGACCUUCGUGCUUUACCUUGGGUAUGUUUCGUGCCAGGGUCUCUGGCCCUUUGAACUCAGAUCUGCCUGUCAUUUCCUCCCAAGUGCUGGGGUGAAGAGUGCCACCACACCAGGCCCCCAUUUCAAAUCUUAUGUAUAUGAGCACUCUGUCCUAUUCAGACACACCAGGAGAGGGCAUCGGAUCCCAUUACGCUGCUUGUGAGCAACCACGUGGUUGCUGAGUUGAGCUUGAGACCUCUGGAAGAGCAGUCAGUGCUGAGCCAUCACUCCAGCCCCUUAACUCAAACCUUUAUUCUGUUUUGUGUGCAUGUCCCUGUGUGUGGGCCCGUGGAUAGCAUAGAUCAUAGCGGUCAGAGAAGAAUUGCAGGAAUUGGUUUUCUUUCCCACCAUGUGGGUCCUGGAGACUAAACUCGGGUGGUUGUAAGGCAGGGCAGCAAGUGCUUUUCUCUGCUGAGGCUGUCGUUGACACACGUUACUGUGUGAAGUGGUUGUUUGUCCAGGGGUUGUGAGGUUGAAAUUUGAUAGCAGGCAUCUCCCAUGCUGUUUUCUCAAGGGCCAGUCGUGGCUGAGUUGUGCUAAAGGGAAGUGUCCUGCUCUUAGCUGUGGGGUGUAAGGUCUGUGGACGGUUGGCAGCUUAGUGUUAUGUGUUUGGCUCACCGACGCUUCCUUCCGUCUAGGAAACCUAAGUUGCUGGAGCUCGAAGUGACUUGAUGGCACUUCAGAACCAUCGGGCUGUUUCAUGGAACUUCCACUGAAGCGGUAAGUGUGCAAGAAGACACUCUUAGGUCACAUCUGGAAUUUUGUCUCCUGUCAAUUAGGCUGGCCUCAAAGUUGCUACGUAGCCAAGGGUGGCUUUGAACUCCUGAUCUGGCUUUGAACUCCUGAUCUCAUGCUUCCAUCUCCCAGGAGUUUGAAUUAUGGGCCUGGGCCAGAAAGCUCAGGCUCCGCUUCUGUUUGACUUAGUAGUUGUCCCGUCAUUCAGUCACCUGGCUACAAAAAGUGUAUUUAAAAACAAACGAGGGCUGGAGAGAUGGCUUAGGUUAAAAGCACUGACUGCUCUUCCAGAGGUCCUGAGUUCAAUUCCCAGCAACCACAUGGUGGCUCACAACCAUCUGGAGUGGGAUCUGAUGCCCUCUUCUGGUGUGUCUGAAGACAGCGACAGUGUACUCACAUAUAUAUAAAAUAAAACAGGAAGCCUGUGACCUUUCCAU
ensembl:lncRNA LOC102547700 uncharacterized LOC102547700